AGAAGAUGGGGUGUAUAAGUGAUCAUUAAGGCCCUUGGCCUAGGCAUGCGGCUUCCAUUGCACUUAGGAGGUGCACUUGCCUAACAACUCCCUAAGUGGGAGAGUGUACGUCAUAAUUUGUGGUAGUGGGGGUCAACGUUCGCCCGGCCCCUU